AAAGCUUUAAGUUAAAGAAACUGUUAACCUUCAAAGUUAAAAUUACAAGACAAGUGUAAGCUUUA
rnacentral:tRNA from 1 species